rnacentral:lncRNA from 1 species
AAAAAAGCAGGGAUGAUUAAAAGUUCAAACCAACGGUCCCUAGAAAGAUAUCACAAGUUUGCAUUACCUCAUAGCAAGGUGCCCCAUCUGGCAACAAUCAAUCAAUACCGAUAGCACAAGUUCGCAUUACCUCAUACCUGGACCUACAUGAACUAUAGACCCAUCGCCCAUUCAGCAGUAAACCAAUAACUGUUUUGGGUAUGCUGUAGCAGAUAGGGGCAGCACAAAAUACAAACUAGAUUGAUAGUUUGCAAUCCUAGCCAGUGAAACAACCCCUGCGUAAGUAGAUUCCACCAAACAACAUCAUCUGCUUUGUGAAGGGUAGCGGGAACAAUGCCGACAUCCAAAGAUAAAUACUCUAUUGAUCGACAUGAAUCAUGUUUGUACCACCAAAUCAUGAUAUCCAAGUCAGAAUGCAGCCUCAAACGAUCUCCUAUUUUGUUCCAAUUCCUUUCCUCAUUCUUGUAUUAUGAAGGCUAGACGCUCCAGGGGAGGAUCACAUAGAUUUGUGUGGAAGAUGGAAUUGAAGAUUGCCUAUUGAGGAUGAAUCCAUCCAUGGCUUUGACUUACCGUGCAAGCGAUGCCGGAUCAGAUCGUGGGAAGCCGCCGAGGACAGUUCGUCGUCGUUUUCGUCCUGCCGUAGACCUGCAUCGCCGUGCCGCUCCCCUGGGUGAGGCAUGCUCGCACCAUGCGCAGGAGGGCAUGGACUGCCACCGGUUGUGAAAUCGCUCCACUGGAGAGGGUGCUGCUAACAUAUUAGAGCGGAAAUGAGAAACAACAGCAAAGACAAGUAAUGAAGGGAAACACUUCCUAACAGAAGUCUGAUAGAAGGCACUCAUCAGACCGGCUGAGAAACAUCGAUGUGUUUCUCAUCUCAUGGCUGAGAUUGUUUCCAAAUAUUAGUUCAUGUGUUUCCAAAGUUGACUGAUUUUCUUCCCACGUCCCUCCUAUAAUCCCUCCCGCAUUAAUCUCACCUGCCCCAAACCGACAUCCCUCGUCCCCAUCAUAGUUGCUCCCGCGAUCCAUCUGCAUCCCCGAGCUGGGCACUCCCCUCGUCGCCCGGAUCUCUGGCCAUGAACCAGCCAUCCCAAUAGUGGUCGUGAGAUUCACUGCACCAGUACACCGUCCCAUCCGUUGGCUUCGUCUGGCAUUAUCCAUGACAGGCAUGAGCGAGCACCCGACCCCCUCGCCGUCCAUGGCAUCAUCACUAGGUUUAGGCUUCCGCGACAGAGCGUUGUCUCAGUUGAGGAAAGAAGACAGCAAGCGAGGAACAUUGCAGGAUUCGCCCGCUUCCUUCGCAUGCAUCAUGCACUCACCAGACCUAGACCUAGGUAUCUAGUCCUGUAAUCUUGAUUCUUCUGUUCAUAUCAUGGUUCUAUUUCACGUGUAAUUUGUCACUGAUUUUUUUUGUUAAAUGUGCACAUGAGAAUAGUAUGCAUCCAAUCCUAGCAGUAAUACUAGUUUUCAUUACAAUAUCAAUUUCCAUGCUUCCAUCAUUAAUCUUCUAUGCUUCCAAAUAAGAUGAGUUAUGUUCACAUCUCAUUCUUUUCAUGCUUCUUACUUUUGAUGCUUCCAAAUUAUACUGCAUAUAGUUCUUCAGUCUAGAUGAUUUGCUUCCAUACUUCAACCAGAUUCUAUGAAUUUAUAAUGUAGGUGACAUAAACAUGCAUCUUCCAGACGAAUCUUUGUUUUUUUUUCAUUUUCAGUAUUUUAUACUCCCAAUUUAGAUGAGCCAUAUCAAGAUGGCAUAUUUUCAUGCUUCCUACCUACUAGGCUUCAAAAUUCUACUUCAUAUGCUUCCUCUGUUCAAAUAGAUUGUUCCCCUUCUACCUUCUUAAAAAAUGAUCUUGUCAUUGUUAUCACCAUUGCAAUAUGUCAUGCUUCCAUAUGUUGCUAAAUAUGUUCUUUUGGUCUACAUGCUCUGUUAUAUUUCUAUCAUUUGCAUUAGUCAGCACUAUUGUAACCUAAACAUUGGCCUUCUGUUUCAUGGUUAGUCUAGAUAAGUUGCAUAAGUACAAGCAUGCAUCUUCCUUCGUGAACACUGACCCCAUGCAUCCUAGUUUCAUCACAUAUUUGUUGCGCAGGAUUUGCUUCGUUCUUUUCUUGGUUACCACAUUUCGUCAUUGUCAUUGUGUGCUUAACAAUUCACAUAUUAUUAUAUAUUUGCUAACGCAGUACGGUUUAUAUUUUUUUUCAGUGCACUAGUGAUGACGAAAGCAAUUCAUCUCUAUGCUGCACCCAUGUUUUCGUUUGAUGUCGUUUGGACGCGUGUGCUUCCAUGGUCUUGCUAGCUUGCCCUUUACGUCCUUGCCAUCAUCAUCGAUGUGUGCUUCGAUGGUCCUACUCUUCCAUGUAUCAUCGUUGUCAAGGUGUACCAAUGGUAAGAAAGCGUGAAAGACCAUGGAACAUCAAGACAUGGAAGGAUGUGCGGCCAUCGUUGGUGGGGUUUGUAUUGUAUUGAAACGGCAAAAAUCAAACCUAUGAUCUAUCUUUGUUGUUUGAUGUAACUUCUUUGGAAGCAAAUUGUAUUUUCUUCAGAAGCAAGUUCUUACAAAUGUUCGAUGGAAAUACAUUUGUUGUCUUGGAAGCACUUCAUCGAUACACUCGAAACAAUUCUAUGGUCACAUGAAACAUAGCUUGUCUGCGCAAACAAAAUACACUGGACAUAACUUCUAGUGCAAGACUAACAAUACUAACCAAACCGAAGCAAUCUCCAGUUUCCAUGAAAACUUGCGCACGGCCGAUCCAAACAAACUUCUAAUCAUAUGGAAGCAAUUUGACCGAAACAAAUUAAAAAAUAAGACAAAAAAAUGAUUAAGCCUAGGAAGCAAACCAAACUAAAGUUUCGGAAGCAAGGAUCCUCACUAUUGAAAACUACGUAGGAAGCAAACAAAAAGAAUUCUCAUCACGAAUGGAAAGUACGUAAGGAAGCAAAUAAAAAUGUUGGAAGCAACAAAACAAUCUUUAAUUAUACAUGCCUUGAUUUGAAAUUGCAUGGGCAGCAAACUAAAGUUUAGGAAGCAAGGAUCCUCACGAUUGGAAACAAAAUAUCUUUAGUUAGUUACUCCCUCUGGUCCGGCAAUGAUCUGCGCCGGCGCACCGGCCCAACUUUGGGUCGGUCGGCCCGCAGCCACUCGAUUAGAUGGAUAGAAACCGUUCGAUCGUUGUCUUUGUCAAAGCACUGGUACGAAGGAUCUUUUUGCAUCUCCUCGCUCCCUUCCAUCUCACCGCCAUCGGCCGCGCAUGUUCUCCCAUCGCUGCUGUCGCCGGCCGUCCUCGCCGCUGGUCGCCAUCCUCGCCGGUCGUCCUAGUCGCCGGUCGCAGCCCUUGCCGGGCGUCCUCGUCGCCGGCGUCACCCAUGCAACAGAUGCAUCCUGCGGGGUUGGCUCCUGUGGCGACGGGUUGCAGCGACGGCCGCGGCUCGCUGGCAUGCUCGCCGCCACUCAUGGCCGAUACCCUCCCCCGACAUAGCUCGCCAUCACCCAUCGCAUAUCGUAGCAGAAAACACUAGUUAGUAGCUUUUGCGGUUGCUAGUUGAAGCAAAAAUGCAACGCGCUUGUAGCACCGGGGCUACGCCGGUGAUGGCUUGUAGCUAAACGAGGCGCCAUCGCUGUCCUGGCCCGGUCACAUAUGUGUCAUGAAUGGAUGUAGCAAAAUGCCUCGCUGGUCGUAGCAAAAAUUGACGACGAUUGCAGCAAAAAUGUCAUCUCCGACAUCAUGGGUUGUGAUGGAUGUAGCAAAUUGACGUCGCUGUGGUAGCAAAUAUUGACGACGAUUACAGCAAAAAUGUCAUCUCCGACGUCAUGGGUUGCGAUGGAUGUAGCAAAUUGUCGUCGCCGUGGUAGCAAAAAUUGACGACGAUUGCAGCAAAAAUGUCAUCUCCAACGUCAUGGGCUGCGAUGGACGUAGCAAAUUGCCGUCACCAUGGUAGCAAAACGUCAACACGGUUGCAACAAAAAAAAUGUCUGUCGCCUUCGGUUGUAGCUUGCCGUGCAUGUUGUUUCUCCCCCGGUUGAAGCUUUUCAAAAACACCAUUGCAGCUAUCUCGUAGCCGGUUGCAACUUUUUUGGUUUGCACAGUAACAUCUUCCCAGCUUCCCUGUCUUUGUUUGAAACUUUUGAAGAAGCCGGUGGUAGCUUCCCUGGACACUGGUUGUAGCAUUUUUAGGUAUUGUUUGCAGCUUCUCCACACCAUUUGCAGCCUCAGCUCUCUUUCUGGUUCCAGCAAAAAAAUAGCCUUGGUCGUAGCAUUUUGUAUCACCGGAUGCAGUUCUAUCGAUUGCCCGUCGCAGCUCAUUGGUUCCAGCAAAGAAUAAGAAGGCGGUCGUAGCAUCUGUAAACUCCUGGUUGCAGCUCUGACGACUACCGGUCGCAGUUCUUGUCUGGGGAAGGUGAGGUGAGGGUGCGCAGGGGGACUACAAGGGGAAAGGGGGAGGGAGGAGGCGUUGGUCGUCGCCGUCUUCUCCGCCCCGCCGUGGCUCGCCCUAGCUGCAAGCCUCGUCAUGACAGUGUGAUGCGCAUGAGGCAGAGAUGGAGAAAGGGAGCGGUCGUGAGGGAGAAGAAAGCGACAGAUGGGAAAAAACGGUUCGCAUGAGGUGCAGAUAAGGUUUGAGUCGGAAGAGCUCGUGGCCCUGGGCAACGCACUAUCGAUAUCGAUCACAAGGCUCGCGUGCGGCCGGCGGAACGUUUCGGUCGGUGCCCCAGCCACAAACAUUUCCCUUUUUAGUUUCCAUAUAAGAUUUGACUGAAGUCAAGCCUCGUAAAGUUUGACCAGCUUUAUAGAAAAAAAUGUCAACAUUUACAAUCUGAAAUCAAUACCACUAGAUGUGUCAUGACUUAAAGUUUCAUAUUAUAUAACUUUAGCAUGGCAGAUGUUAAUUUUUUUUCAUAUAAAUAUAGUCAAACUUUGUGAAGUUUGACUUUAAAGAAUUCUAAUAUGCAUGGUAAAAAGGACAGGAGGGAGUACGUCUUGAUUUCAGGAGGAAGCUGUUAGGAAACAAAUUAAACGCAAUUAAUGUGGAAUCCUGCAUGCAAGCUGACUGACGUGGGGGAGUUUGCUAGCAAAUCGAACGACGUGCGUACUUUAAUCGGAUGGCCACGGACUAAUGUGACAGGAAGAAAACGUCAGUCUGAUGCCUAGAGGUUCCCAUAUAUAGUUUCUGACCAAUAGCCAAUGCAACAUGAAUGACGUGGCCAGCCAUGCAUUAUUUUUUCAGGCAAGCCACAGCCCUCGGUAUAUGUAGCAGUGACAGGGUUAGUACAGACACUACUCUCGGUAUAUGUUGUAACCAAUUCACAAUACCACUAUGCUUAAACGAAUUCACCAAAGCACCAAGAGAUGAGAAAAAGAUCUGUGUAGCCAAAAGAAAGACUGCAUAAUCCAAAACGCUGAUGUUGCAAAUAAUAUUUUUACAUGUUACAAACCAGAAAAAACUGAAACUUGCCAUUCGAAAAGGAUGCUGACAUGCUUGACAACUAAAGUUGCCAUCCUAGCAUCACUAAACUCGCCAUAAAAAACGUUCGAAAUUGCCAUGUGUUCGUGCAACACAUGUGGCACUUAUCAUGGUCCAACAAAUAAGCAUCUUGUGACAUAAGAAAUCAAAUUCGUUGCAACAACAAAAAGAAAUGCUGACAAUUAUUUUCUUUGGGCAAGCAAUCACAUCUCUGGUGAAGUAAAAGAUGACAAGUACUACCUCCAUAAAGAAAUAUAAGAGUGUUUAGAUUACUAAGUAGUGAUCUAAACACUCUUAUAUUUCUUUACGGAGUGAGCAUCACCUAGAGUAAUCGGCUCAUCAAGUUAACUGCAGCCAACUAAGCAGCAAUCAUCAUAAAAAAGCAGGGAUGAUUCAAAGUUCAAACCAACGGUCCCUAGAAAGAUAUCACAAGUUUGCAUUACCUCAUAGCAAGGUGCCCCAUCUGGCAACAAUCAAUCAAUACCGAUAGCACAAGUUCGCAUUACCUCAUACCUGGACCUACAUGAACUAUAGACCCAUCGCCCAUUCAGCAGUAAACCAAUAACUGUUUUGGGUAUGCUGUAGCAGAUAGGGGCAGCACAAAAUACAAACUAGAUUGAUAGUUUGCAAUCCUAGCCAGUGAAACAACCCCUGCGCAAGUAGAUUCCACCAAACGACAUCAUCUGCUUUGUGAAGGGUAGCGGGAACAAUGCCGACAUCCAAAGAUAAAUACUCUAUUGAUCGACAUGAAUCAUGUUUGUACCACCAAAUCAUGAUAUCCAAGUCAGAAUGCAGCCUCAAACGGUUCACUUGUUACGCUGAACGCAUCCAUUCUCGGUUAGGUACUCCACAAAUUCAUCAAUUAGGUAGGGCCAAGCACCUUCUUCGUCAUAGUUGGAUAACUGUGGAUCAAUUGUCUGCAAUAACACAACAGUGAAAUUGGUUAAGUUCACAAUUAUGAGCUCUUUCUACAUGCAAGUCAUAGUAAGAGCCAUCUUAGUCCCUUCCGGACAUCCAACAAAAAAUUGACACGUUUAACAAGAUACACGAUUAGUGAAGAACUGAAAAGAUAACAGAUUAUUGACGAAUCACUGAAGGCGACAGAUCACAAACUACCUAGAGACUACAACCUAGGCACACCAGUUAACCUGUCUCAUUUGCCCAAGCAAAGUUUAUUUGUCAUGCUGAUUAAGUGGGCAUACAAGUCCCGCAAAAUCUGGGCAUUCAUAUCUAUAUACCUAACAUUAAAGGGAGGAAUGUUUCUACCCAUCCAUCAUCAGAAUUGCUCUGAACUUUUUAAAAAUUACCUCUCAAUGUCACCCGUAAGCGGGAAAAAGCGGUUCAGAGCAACAUUCCUACGUUUUGUCAGCAGCUUGCAG